rnacentral:rRNA from 1 species
AACGUAGGGGGCCAGCGUUGCUCGGAAUUACUGGGCGUAAAGGGUCUGUAGGCGGUGCGGCAAGUCGGAAAGUGAAAUCGCAGGGCUUAACUCUGCGGCUGCUUCCGAAACUGCCGUGCUCGAGUGUGAGAUAGGCGAGUGGAAUUGCAGGUGUAGCGGUGAAAUGCGUAGAUAUCUGGAGGAACACCUGUGGCGAAAGCGGCUCACUGGACCACAACUGACGCUGAGGCGCGAAAGCUAGGGGAGCAAACAGG